rnacentral:rRNA from 1 species
UACGUAGGGUGCAAGCGUUGUCCGGAAUUAUUGGGCGUAAAGAGCUCGUAGGCGGUCUGUCACGUCGGCUGUGAAAUCCCGAGGCUCAACCUCGGGUCUGCAGUCGAUACGGGCAAACUAGAGUAUUGCAGGGGAGACUGGAAUUCCUGGUGUAGUGGUGAAAUGCGCAGAUAUCAGGAGGAACACCGGUGGCGAAGGCGGGUCUCUGGGCAAUAACUGACGCUGAGGAGCGAAAGCGUGGGGAGCGAACAGG